rnacentral:tRNA from 1 species
GCCGCGGUGGCGGAAUUGGUAGACGCGCUAGACUCAAAAUCUGGUGUUCGCAAGGACGUGCCGGUUCAAGUCCGGCCCGCGGUACCA